GAUGAAGAACGCAGCGAAAUGCGAAAAGUAAUGUGAAUUGCAGAAUUCAGUGAAUCAUCGAAUCUUUGAACGCACAUUGCGCCCGCCAGUAUUCUGGCGGGCAUGCCUGUUCGAGCGUCAUUACAACCCUCAGGCCCCCGGGCCUGGCGUUGGGGAUCGGCGGAGCCCCCCGUGGGCACACGCCGUCCCCCAAAUGCAGUGGCGGUCCCGCCGCAGCUUCCAUCGCGUAGUAGCUAACACCUCGCGACUGGAGAGCGGCGCGGCCACGCCGUAAAACACCCAACUCUUCUGAAGUUGACCUCGAAUCAGGUAGGAAUACCCGCUGAACUUAAGCAUAUCAAUAAGCGGAGGA
rnacentral:misc_RNA from 1 species